GAAACCAACAGGGAUUGCCCUAGUAACGGCGAGUGAAGCGGCAACAGCUCAAAUUUGAAAUCUGGCGCAAGCCCGAGUUGUAAUUUGUAGAGGAUGCUUCAGGGCAGCGGCCGGUCUAAGUUCCUUGGAACAGGACGUCAUAGAGGGUGAGAAUCCCGUAUGCGACCGGUUGGCACCCGUCACGUAGCUCCUUCGACGAGUCGAGUUGUUUGGGAAUGCAGCUCUAAAUGGGAGGUAAAUUUCUUCUAAAGCUAAAUACCGGCCAGAGACCGAUAGCGCACAAGUAGAGUGAUCGAAAGAUGAAAAGCACUUUGGAAAGAGAGUUAAAAAGCACGUGAAAUUGUUGAAAGGGAAGCGCAUGCAACCAGACUUGUCGGCGGUGUUCCGCCGGUCUUCUGACCGGUCCAUUCGCCGCCGACAGGCCAGCAUCAUCUGGGCGCGCCGGAUAAAGGCGUAGGGAAUGUGGCUCCUCGGAGUAUUAUAGCCCCGCGCACAAUACGGCGCCGCUCGGGUGAGGUCCGCGCUUCGGCUAGGAUGCUGGCGUAAUGGUUGUCUGCGGCCCGUCUUGAAACACGGACCAAGGAGUCUAACAUCUAUGCGAGUGUUCGGGCGUCAAACCCCUACGCGUAAUGAAAGUGAACGGAGGUGGGAAGCGCAAGCUGCACCAUCGACCGAUCCUGAUGUCUUCGGAUGGAUUUGAGUAAGAGCAUAGCUGUUGGGACCCGAAAGAUGGUGAACUAUGCCUGAAUAGGGUGAAGCCAGAGGAAACUCUGGUGGAGGCUCGCAGCGGUUCUGACGUGCAAAUCGAUCGUCAAAUUUGGGUAUAGGGGCGAAAGACUAAUCGA
rnacentral:rRNA from 1 species